GUUGACUGUUUUAAUUUUUAAAGGUGUUCAACGUUAAAUUUAAAGAUUGUUUUAUAAAUAUAAUAAUAUGUUAUUAAAGAUGAGGAUUAUUGUGUUCAGUGUGAGUUUUCUUCAUUUAGUAUUCAUUACGCUGUAUAUGCUUUCGAUUGAUUUUACUAAUGCACCCGACCUUGAAAUGAGAUCGUACCAGUAUAAACGGUGGGGACUUUUAACGUCGUGGUUUAAUUUGUUAUUAGGUCCCUACCUGCAACUUGCUAUCUAUUGUGACUGGAAGGAACUUAAAAAUGAUCAACCAAGCAAAACACUAACCAAUAUUAGGGAUGUGAUUUUUACAAGUUUGCUCUGGCCAAUUGUAUCGUUUUCAGACAUGUUUUUUUGGAGUUUAUUUGUGAAUAAUCCCGUGAUGAUGAUGCCUUUAAUGGCACCAAAAUAUGUACCAACCUGGGCUCAGCACAGUAUGCAUACAGUCUCUUUUGUAAUCGUUGCAUUCGAUUUACUAACAAAGCCCCGGGAACGACCGAAAAGUGUAAAAAAUGGAUUUUAUCUAACAAUAGCAUUCUUGGUCCUAUAUACUGCUGUGCUGAUCGAGAAUAUGUUUCAAGGGAUCUAUCUCUAUCCAUUACUUGAGAUUUUGCCUUGGUAUAAGUUGGUGCUGUUUGCUGUCUAUGCCUACGUUGGGCACAUGUUCUACUACACAAUACAAUGGAUCAUAAUUGAUUUAGUAUGGAGAUCAAGAAUUACUUCAAUACCUAUGAAUAAAGGAUUAGAAAAGGAACCCAAAGGACACUAAUGAAUUUCAAGCAAUUAAUAAUAAUUAAGGCGCCUAUUUCUGCCGCAAAGCAGUAAUGUGUAAACAUUACUGUGUUUCGGUCUGAAAGGCGUGUAGCUAGUGAAAUUACUGGGGAAAUAAGUCUUUAGAUCUUAUGUCUCAAGGUGACGAGCGCAAUUGUAGUGCAGUCCAGAAUUUUUGGUCUUUUCAAUAAUCCGGAGCGGCACUGCAUUGUAAUGGGCAGGGCGUAUCAAUUACCAUCAGCUGAACAUCCUGCUCGUCUCGUCCCGUUUUUUCAUAAAAAAAAAUUAUUGCUAAAAAAAUUAACCAGGUUAUUAUUGAAGAAUUUAAUUAAUUUAUUAGGUUAUUAAAAGGUUUUUUAAUUCAAUUAGAUAGAGUUUUAUAUGUUGGCUUAUCGUAUUACACUAUUGAUUUUUUGUGCACUGAAUGCGUUGUAUAAAAAGUUAAGUAUUUUGGAUUGUAAUUGUACAAAGUCUGCGAUGUUUUUGCGUGUAAUCAUAAGUGAGCGUGACAAGUGAUAAUGAAAAUAAAAUUAUUUAAAAAUG